rnacentral:rRNA from 1 species
UCAAUAAGCGGAGGAAAAGAAACCAACAGGGAUUGCCCCAGUAACGGCGAGUGAAGCGGCAACAGCUCAAAUUUGAAAUCUGGCCCCAGGCCCGAGUUGUAAUUUGCAGAGGAUGCUUUUGGCGCGGUGCCUUCCGAGUUCCCUGGAACGGGACGCCAUAGAGGGUGAGAGCCCCGUACGGUUGGACACCAAGCCUUUGUAAAGCUCCUUCGACGAGUCGAGUAGUUUGGGAAUGCUGCUCUAAAUGGGAGGUACAUUUCUUCUAAAGCUAAAUAUUGGCCAGAGACCGAUAGCGCACAAGUAGAGUGAUCGAAAGAUGAAAAGCACUUUGAAAAGAGGGUUAAACAGCACGUGAAAUUGUUAAAAGGGAAGCGCUUGUGACCAGACUUGCGUCCGGUGAAUCACCCAGCUCUCGCGGCUGGGGCACUUCGCCGGCACAGGCCAGCAUCAGCUUGCCGUCGGGGACAAAAGCUUCAGGAACGUGGCUCCUCUCGGGGAGUGUUAUAGCCUGUUGCAUAAUACCCUUCGGCGGGCUGAGGUACGCGCUCCGCAAGGAUGCUGGCGUAAUGGUCAUCAGCGACCCGUCUUGAAACACGGACCAAGGAGUCAACCUUAUGUGCGAGUGUUUGGGUGUUAAACCCCUACGCGUAAUGAAAGUGAACGCAGGUGAGAGCUUCGGCGCAUCAUCGACCGAUCCUGAUGUUCUCGGAUGGAUUUGAGUAAGAGCAUAUAGGGUUGGACCCGAAAGAAGGUGAACUAUGCGUGUGUAGGGUGAAGCCAGAGGAAACUCUGGUGGAGGCUCGCAGCGGUUCUGACGUGCAAAUCGAUCGUCAAACAUGCGCAUGGGGGCGAAAGACUAAUCGAACCUUCUAGUAGCUGG